CAUGCCUGUUCGAGCGUCAUUACAACCCUCAAGCACCGCUUGGUACUGGGUGACACCUGGGUGCACCUCAAAAUCAGUGGCGGUGCCGUCUGGCUUCAAGCGUAGUAAUACUUCUCGCUACGGAGUCCAGGUGGUAUCUGCCAGAACCCCCCACUUCUAAGGUUGACCUCGGAUCAGGUAGGGAUACCCGCUGAACUUAA
rnacentral:misc_RNA from 1 species